CCACAAUCUUCGCCCUCACCACCGCCACCCUCGACACCAUCCUCCCCAUCACCACCUUCAACAUCAACCUCUCCACCGCCACCUUCAACAACGACCUCUCCACCGCCACCUUCAACAACAACCUCUCCACCGCCACCUUCAACAACAACCUCUCCACCACCACCUUCAACAACAACCUCUCCACCACCACCUUCAACAACAUCACCAUCACCACCUCCCCCCGAGGGAUCCACUCCCUCUCCUCCUCCACCUGAAGCUUCACCUUCCCCUCCUGAAUUGUCACCUCCGCCACCACCAGCAGCGGAAGGUGGUUCUCCACCUCCUCCAUCCAAUCCUAGACCUCCAUCUUCAACUCCUUCUCCCCCUCCCCCCGAAACGAUUUCACCUCCUCCAUCUCCACCAACUAAUGUCCCAAC
rnacentral:lncRNA from 1 species